GGGCAGCAGCCCCCUCCCCAGCCCCACAAUGACCUCCACGGUGCUGCGGGGACCCCCCCGGCCCCCCCGGCCCCCCCGAGCCCCCAAACCUCCGUCAUGAGCAGCAUAAUGGAGGAGGAAGAGGAGGAGGUGACCCCCCCCGGGGGGGGCAGCAGCAGCGGGGAGACCCCCAGGGAGCGGCUGGGCAGGCUCCAGGAUCUCUUUGAUUCUGACAUUCUCAGCAUUGAGGACUGAGGCACCGUUUCGUCGUUGUCCAUUUUUUGGUGUUUUGAGCCCAAAUCCGUCGGUGGUUUUUGGUUGGUUUUGGGGUGGGGGGGGCGGGAAACCCCCCGGGACCCCCCCACGUUUACAGCCCCCGUUGGGUGAAUAAAGG
ensembl:lncRNA